rnacentral:pre_miRNA from 1 species
AAAAAGACAAACCCUGAUUUCCGUGUCCAAUGUUUGACCGUUCAUCUUAUUUGAAAAAAUUAUGAAAAAAAUUAAAAAGACAAGUUACGCAUAAAAUAUUAAUCAUGUUUUAUCAUCUAACAAAAAUAAAAAUACGAAUUAUAAACAAAUUUUAUAUAAGACGGACAGUUAAAGUUGGACAUGGAAACCUAGGGUUUGUCUUUUU